GGACCUGCUCAGAAUGGGGUCUCCUUGAUUCCCAUUGCUUUUCCAUUUAGGGAGCACCUGCCAUCAGUAUUCCAGAAAGAAGCAGAUUCAAAGAGUCUGCAGCCUGCACUAUGCCAGAAGCCACUAUUAGAAGGAAAAGAAACUUAGCAAAGAGAGAAUCAUGUUGGCUUUUUUCCUCCCAGAGAAUGCUGCAGAUGUGUAAUCCAGUCUACUGACUGUUCAUUUCCAGAAUGCUGUCUUCCAUGUCAGGUGUGGGCCUUGCACCACCUCCCUGGAAUCUGGAGGCUGAGUUUGCAUGCAGCCCUAUGCAUGCAAUAUUGAGACCAUGUUGGCACCUGCAUGAUAGCACACACAUGUGCCUAUCAUGUGCGCCGUUCCACCUUCACAUCAACUGUGUGCUCUCUGGGGGUUCCUUCACUUCUUGAACCUCGAUUUGUACAUCUGCAAAGUGGAGCUAAUGAUGCCUGCACUGACACA